AUUGAACGCUGGCGGCAGGCCUAACACAUGCAAGUCGAGCGGAGCGGCUGACGGGUGAGUAAUGUCUAGGAAUCUGCCCGUUAGUGGUGGAUAGCGUCCGGAAACGGGCCCUAAUACCGCAUACUAUUCGCUGCGCCUAUGUCGGACUAGCUAGUUGGUGGGGUAAAGGCUUACCAAGGCCACGAUCCGUAACUGGUCUGAGAGGAUGAUCAGUCACACUGGAACGGAGAAACGGUCCAGACUCCUACGGGAGGCAGCAGUGGGGAAUAUUGGACAAUGGGCGAAAGCCUGAUCCAGCCAUGCCGCGUGUGUGAAGAAGGUCUUCGGGUUGUAAAGCACUUUAAGUUGGGAGGCGUUACCAGCAGAAGAAGCACCGGCUAACUUCGUACCAGCAGCCGCGGUAAUUC
rnacentral:rRNA from 1 species